rnacentral:lncRNA from 1 species
GCAUUACUUCAUUUAAUCUCGAUAAUAAGCCUAUGAGGCAGGAUUCCAUUAUCGUCUCUAUUCUACAGAUGAGAAAACUCAGACCAGAGAGGCUAUGUAGAUCAUCCAUUGUUACACAACUAUGAAGUGGCAGAGCUGGAUUUUGAACCUGAGCUUAUCUGAGUUCAGAGUCCAUGCACGCAACUAACCAAUGGACUAUUUGCAAGUCAGGUCAUGGAAAGGCAUGAUAGCAUAGUGUGGCUCAAGGCACAGAGCAUAUGGAAAGCAGGAAUGACAGCUGCAGCUGAAUUACGGAGCAUCUUAUUGACUUGUAAGACAAUGAAAGCAAUGAAACCCAUCACACAGAAGUACUCCUACUUCCAUACCGUAGCCAGAGGGUUCACAAAAAUCCUGCAGAUGAAUAAAUUUUGAGUCUGCUGAGAGGAGGAGUGUCAGAGCCUGAACACUUGUCAAGAGAUUGAGAAGGGACAGGACAUACUGCUGGAUUGAAUGUGUAAAUCAUUCACCUCAGGGCAUGGAGGCCUCCUGUUUCUCCUGGCUUUCUCCAGCCACCUGGGUCCUGGCCUUGCUUCACUAACCCAAGCAUCCAUAAUAUUAGGACAAACACUUAUUCUACCCACUCCCUGACACAAUUGGGUAAAGGAGAAUUAAGGAACCAAAUCACUUAGCUGCUCAGAGAUAUUAUAACUAACGAUGAUUUUCCCAUGGCUUCCAUAUACUACUUGUAUCUCCUACCUCUGGACUUCGAGAUCGUUUAGAGUGAUACCUACCUUAUUAAACCAUCAUAUGUUUUAGCCAGUACUUUUCUCCAUUACUCUUAUUCUUUCCACCUUAACCUUAAAAAGGAUUCCUCAAAAUUUGUUAUGCAAAUUAUAUUUCUUAUUUUACAUUUUUGUUGUUGAGAUAUUAAUUUCAAAAAUAUUUUUCCUGUCAUUUACGGGGAUUUGGAGAGAAAAUCAGACAUGUGAGCCCAGUCUAUCUUUAGUCACUUUGCAUAGGAAUAGGCUAGCUAUGGACCUAUUUCCUCUCUCCCAACUAUAAUCCAAGCUGAAAUACAGAAACAAUUUUCUAAGAAGUGCCUCAUGCAGAUUUUUAAAUUGUGAGCAAAGUUGAGCAAUCCAUAAGAUGAUGGUUUGUGAAGAAUGUUCUGGGCCCAAAGGGAAGGAUUCUAAUAGACUAUAAAACAUGACCCACAAUUAUUUUUAAAAUUUGCUGAAUCUAGAUACAGUGCAGAAUGUACCAAAUUUUUAGAUGCUUUGUAGGCUGAUUGUCCUCAUGGAACAUUGAUUUAAGGGGCCUGUAUUUAGAGCUUCUAUUUAAAAAGAAUAAAGAAAGGCAUAAUUUUAAAAUUCA